CAUAGUUCAGCUGGUUAGAGCGUCAGAUUGUGGUUCUGAAUGUCGAGGGUUCGAAUCCCUCUG
rnacentral:tRNA from 1 species